CCGAAUCCGAAUCCGCUCACAAACGAAAACCGAAAACCAAAAACCGGUUCUAAAAUGGUUUAUUAGAAAAUCUCUCGCGGCUCCCCGAAAAUGUAAACAAAAUCGUCAGAGGCCGUCUCCUGCCUCCUGCCCUUGUUUUUGUUUUUGUUUUUGUUGCUGUUGUUGACUGUAGAACAUGGCUUUUCUGUCCGCGCUCUUAUCGUGCAAACCAGAUACAUAUGUACAUUGCAUACAUACAUGUGCACAUACAUAAAUAUGUAUGUGGGAAACACGAGAGGAGACAAAUCCAAUAGACAGUUUUGCACGCGACUUUCUUAUUGUCGAUUCUAAUUCGUUUGUCGUUGCGGGAAUCGGGAAUCGGGAAUGAUGAAUGAUACCUUCGAUACCCGCGAUACCCUCGAUACUCUCGGGCAUUUGCACAGGGGUAUGCUUCGUCCGUUUAUCGAUGGGUGACGGACAAGCGAUAUUUUAUCUAAAUCGGAUACGAAUGAAAUGUUUCAAUAUACAUAUCUACAUCUACAUACAUAUGUAUACCAUAUGUAUGUUGUGAGCUGAGGCAUGGGCAUCUAACAGUCGUUACGAUUAUCGCAUGGCCUUUCUACGUUUUGGCCUGUUUUGUGGCCUGAAAGCAAAACCUACUAUUGGCAUUUUCCGUUCGAAAUGCUUGUUUAUUUAUAGGCUCCAACAAUAACGGGAGAAGGUCGAAAGCACUUAAGUAAAAGCUGAACAAAACUCGAAGAGGAACUUCUUUUGUUUGGUGGAAUUCGUUUCGGAAUGGAAUCAAUGGCUGUUGUCCGUGGGGCUCCAUGUGUCACACCGAUUUGCAUAUUAGCAAAGCUUUAAUAAACCAUAAAAAGUCCAAGUUCUAAACUCCCAAUCGCUUACACGAUAUCAGCACAUCAGCCCAUCAAUACCUAAUACCCAAUACCUACUAGUUCUAUGGACAGAAAUAACUUGCGUAUCUCCGGUAACAGUCGGGGGCCCCAGAUAUAGAUACAGAUACAACACAAGAAUCAACUAAAGCGCCGCUGGCGGUACUCAAAAAACAAAUUUCCUCUCUUAUCUCAAAUGGCCCGCAACGGUGUCCGGCCUCCCGGCCUCCCGGCCUCCCGGCUUUCCCAUUAAAGCGAUUGCAAUUAGCGCCCCAUCGACUAUUUGCUGGGAUUACAAUACCAGCACAAGUACCCUUUGACCACAAUGGGUAUAUUAACUAUUAAUAAGAGCUAUGUUACAGUCAAGAAUGGUUCUCAAUUAAAUAAAUAAUAAUAAAUAGUAA